ensembl:lncRNA
UUCUGUUUCUUGUGUGGCUCACUUACUCAUCUGCACCUCUGCCUUCAGCGGACAAAGGUUCUUUCUCUGCGCAUUCUUUUCAACAUUUGUUGUAUUGUGUUGUUUCGAUAAACAGCCAUUCUCACUAGGAUGAGACACUAUGACAUCAUAACUGGGAUUUGCAUUUCCCUAACAGUUGAUGGCACGGAAUAUUUUUAAUAUGACGUAUUUACUGCCUGAGGCAUCUAUUCAGGCCAUCUUCCCAUGAUGUCAUUAAACUACUUGCUAUUCUGUUUUUACGUUUUUGAGUUGGUACGGUUUCUAGGUAUCACAUCUGUCAGGAGUCUGGCAGACACUGAAGGCGGUCUCUUACCUUCUGACAGAGUCCUUUGCUGGGCAGAAGCUUCUCAGUCUGUCCUAAUCCAUUUACACAAUGGAUUUAUAAACAGCAAGACAGCUUUACUCUCCAAGACUGGUGGUAAAACUAUUCCAUCAAAACAGAAUCAGAACUAACCGAAAAUGAACAUCUCUCACAGACCUCUGAAAUAAGCGUCCUGGGGACACCCGGUGACUGUUUCACAACUGACAGAGGCUGUCCUUUCACCUGCAAAGAGAGAAAGUGAUCCAGAGAUGAUGGGGAAGACGGGCUAAGAUGAGGCCAAGUCGGGGUGUGUGAGGCACUUCCUGCUGACAAGAAGCUUAGCAUCUGCCAGAAUGAAGGGUGCCAUGCUGGAAUCUGGGGCAUUCUCGCAGGGCUCAGAUGUUACAGCGUAGUCUCCAGCUGCUGUACUGGGGAGGAGGUAAAAACUCGGG